GCUCGAUGGCAUGUGGAAUUCCUGGGCCAGGGGUCAUAUCUGAGCCGCAGUUGCAGCCUAUGCUGCAGGUGCAGCAACACCAGAUCCUUUAACCCACUGUGCUGGACCAGUGAUUGAACCUAAAUCCUGGUGCUGCAGAGACACUGCUGAUCCCGUUGCUCCACAGCAGGAACUCCUUUCCUUACUUUAUGUGAUAAUUCUAUUUCUGGGAAAUCUGUAUAUUAAAAUGAUGCAAAACUUAUUUGUGUUUAUAUGUAGAAUGGAGUUGGGGUAUAGAUAAUUUUAAGCAUGUUUUUCCACAUACAUGGGCAUGUGAAAGUGUUAUAGGAUAAGAACAGCUCUUUGAGUGUGGGACUGUCCUGUAUUGCAGGACAGUCAGCAUUCUUGGAUUCCACCCACUAAAUCUCCCAAUAGCCUCUAGUUAUUAGGACGACCUAGAAAUGUGCCCAUAAUUUUACAUUAUGCCUCUGUGGUGAACAGUUAUUCUGUGACCUUAUCCUGCUUUAUUUUUCUUGUUAGUACCUAUUACUGUGUGACUUACUAUUUGUUAUAGUAACUUCCUCUGUUAGAUUAUAAGCUGUAUAAGAUCAAGAUCUUUGUCCAUUUUGUAUCAGCCUGUCAGUGGUACUCAGUAUUUCUGUUUGUUGAAUCCGUGGAUGAAUGCAUGGAGGAAUGGUGAAAAAUGAGAUAAAGAAUCUAGAAUAGGCUGUUGAAAGGAUUCCAAAUUGGAAAAUGAUAAAAUUAGAUUGUAUUUGAAAAUAUCAUAGAGCUGUAGUGCAGCAAGUGUGUUGGAGGGGACCUAGAGGAGAAAUGAGUAGACUACUUUGGUAAUCCAGGCAAGAAAUGGUAACUUAGACAGUAGAUGGAUUGGUGAUGGUGGAAGAGAGGGAUGGAGUGGAUGUAUCCAGUAUAUUUUAUAGGGACAAAUUAGUGAUAGAACUUGGAUAUCCAUUGAACUUGGAGGAGAAGAAGUAUCAGGAAUGAUUCCUUCUAAAAAAUGCAGCAAACUAGUGAAUGUAACAAAAAAGAAACAGACUCACAGAUGUAGAGAACAAGCUAGUGGUUACNUGUGUGUGUGUGUGUGUGUGUGUGUGUGUGUGUGUGUGUAGGGCAGCAUGGGAUGGAGUGGCAGACACAAAUUCUUGGGUAUAAGGUGGGCUACAAGGGUGUAUUGUACAACAUGAGGUAUAGCCAGUAUUUUGUAAUACUUGUAAAAUGGAAUGUAGCCUUUAGAAGUUGUAUUUAAAAAUACAUUUAAAAAAAAGAAAAAAGAUACUUCCUGAAUACCUGGCUUAUGUUGCUGGUUAGGUCUUGGUUCUGAUCACUUAGCAUAAGAAGAUAGGACUUGAUUUUUUAGGACAUAGGGUGAUCAUAAAUCCUAUUAGACAAAUGUUAUAUUUGCAGUUGCCUUUAAGGAAUCCAACUGGAGGUGUCAACUGAGUAAACAUUUGGGUUUUUAUUUUACCAGGUUUUUCUUUUUUGGCUGCCCUGCAGCAUGUGGAAGUUCCUGGGCCAGGGACUAAUUCGAAGCCUAGUGCAGCAGCAAUACUGGGUCCUUUAACCCACUGCCCCAGGCCAGGAUCAAAUUCUGCACCUCUGCAAUGACCUGAGCUGCUGCAGUCAGAUUCUUAACCCGCUAUGCCACAGCAGUAAUUCUUCACUAUUUAUUUUUGAGUGCAUUUACAGUUCUAGGAACUGGUAAAGAUAUGGCAGUAAACAAGCUGACUGGCUUUCACAGAAAUUUUACUCUAAUGAGAGAAGGUACACAUUUUUUUUAAGUUAAGGAUGUAGUGUGUAAGUUCAUUUCUAACAGUGAUGUGUGUGAUACAGAAAAUAUCAAAAGGGUUUUGAAAUAGUAUAUAAUUCUAGGAUGCUUUAGGUUGAGUGAUUGGAGAAAGACUCCCUGGGGAGGAUAUUAAACUGAGAUAUAAAUGGUAAGAAGAAGUAAACCAAGUAAAGAUCAGCAGGCAGAGCAUUCUAGAUAGACAGAACUACCAUUGCAAAGACCUUAGAUAGGACAGAUGGCAAUGGGCUGCAGUUAAUUGCAAUGUGUGGACCCAACGGUAUCUGUAUUCCACAAAGUUUAUUUUAACACUGACUUUAAUUUGAUGAUAAAGAAACCAUUAAAUAUUUUACAUGUGUAAUUGGAAAAGAAAACAUUAUGAUAGGAAAGAGGCUAAUGUGUUAGAAGAAAAGAGAAAAGGCUGAGGUUGUGGGAGUAUAGUAGGUAGGGGAAAGAGCUGUAUAGCUGUGGUAGGAGAGCCAAGUAGGGAUCAGAUAAUGUAAGGCUUUAUAUUGCAGGGUAAGAAGUUUAUGUGAAUACAGUGAGAAGUGGAAUGAUUAUUUUAAAGGUCAGUCUGGUGGUGGUUGUGAAGAGAAUGGAUACUACAAGAGAGCCAGGAACAGUAACAGUGGGCAUUGGCAGGAGUUUAGGGGAGGGAUGUUAGUAAUUUGGACUGGGGUGGUGUUAGUGGAGAUGGAAAAAAAGAAGUUCAUAGAUUUGAGAUCUCAUAGUCAGCAAAGGUUUGCUAAUGAGUUGACUGUAUUGGUUUGGAGCUCAGAGAAUAGGUCUGGACUAAGUUUGGGAGUUCUCGAAAUGUAGAUAGUAAUGAAAGCCAGGGCAGAGAUAAGAUUGUCUACUUUAGUGAUCCUCAACCCCAUGUUUACAGCCAAAAUCAUUUGUGGAACUUUUUCAAAAUAAACUUGCCCAUACCCACCCCAGGAGAUCCUCUUUCAGUAAUUUGAAAGUCCCAAUGACUUUAUUCCUAAACUAGCUUUGUAGGUGAGUAUGAACUGGCCUACUGUGGCCUCUGAUCUGUUGAACAAAAUUUCCUAUUCAUCUUUUCCCCCUUGUUUUCUCUUCAGCUCUUUAAAUCAUUUGUAAACUUUAAUCAAGCAACAGUUAAUUUUGCAAACGUAAGAAUUUGUAAAUCGAUGAAUUGAUAAUACUUUUAGCACAAGGGAAAUGUUUCCCCAAAACAUUGGUUUACCUGGUGAUCUGAAGUUACUGAACAUAAUAGCAUCCCUUGGAACUUCCUAAAAUUGUGGACACGUUUAAAUAAUAUUAUUUGUUAUUCUGUGUGUGUUAUGUGUAAAAAUCCAUACUUAAUAAUUCUUUUAACCUUCUAACUGUGUUUUGUUAGGUUAUAUUAAAAGGACUAGCUUUAUUUGUCUUUCUUGAUGUAUAUGGUCAGUUGGUACAUAGACCUUCAUUUCUUACUUUGAGGCAGAGCAGAAGGAGUAACGUUUAUCCAUUGGCAUGAUUCUCAUUACUUCUGGAAUUUUUGCCUCUUCUGCUUAGUUCUAAGGCUUUGAAACUAGAAAUUUUUGUUCAGAAAUUCUAAGUAUAACCAGUAAGCUUUAGGUUGACUUCUAAAUCUGCAUCUGAUUUACUUACAUGUCCGAAAUUACCAGAGCUUAACUUUAAAAAUUUUAUUUAAAUAGGCUAGAAUACAGUUUCAGAAUAAAUAGUGAGUAUUUUCUUCAUGUUAAUAUGCUAGAAUUUAAUAUUUGACUUGGACUUGAUUUUUGUGGUCCAUUUACUGAAAUAUUCCUACUUAUACAGAAUUUUUAAAGGGCUCUUAAGUGUUCUGUUCUUUUAUUAGCAUGCUUUUAAUUCAAUUUUUAAGUCAAUUCUGGGAGUUAGAAUAAAUGAAUUAAAAUAAUGGUUAGCUCUAUACAUAUACUCAUUUAUGUAUAACUUUACACAUAUAUGUAUAUAAGUAUAUUCAUUGUUAGACUCUUAUACAAUGUUUUCUUAAUUUAUAUAACCAGAUGGUGAAUAUCCCACUGUAUAUUCCUCUCCUCUCCUCUCCCCUCCCCUCCCCUCUCCUCUUCUCCUCUCCUUUCUUUCCUUCCUUCCUUCCUUUUGUCUUUUUUAGGGCCACUCCCAUAGCAUGUGGAAGUUCCCAGGUUAGGGGUCCAAUUGGAGCUGCAGAUGUCAGCCUAGGCCACAGCCACAGCAACGCAGGAUCCGAGCUGUGUAUGCCCUCGACACCACAGCUGGAUCCUUAACCCACUUAGCAGGGCCAGAAAUCCAACCUGCAUCCUCAUGGGUACUAGUUGGGUUCAUUACUGCUGAGCCACAGUAGGAACUCCUUUAUAUUUCUUUUCUCAAAUGUCAUUUUAUGUUGUAAAUAAUUUCUUCCAUUUCAGAAUUAAUAUCUUUGUUUCUAUGUACAAUCUUUUCAAGCAAAAGGUAGUAGGAUGCUUGCUUCUCUGUACAAGUAUUGCAAAAAGGUUAGCAGUUCUGAAUUGCAGUAAUUAUACUUUUGGAAGGAUUGAUAGAGUGAAAAGAUUAUUUUUAAGUAUAAAAUUUUAUAUUUAAUAUUUUGAAGAUUAUUGUGUUAAGUCCUUUUUGUUAUCAGAAAAGCCCUAUUAAAUUGCUAGGAAAUAAACUUUAGGUUCCAUAAACAAAAAAAAAAUUUCUAAUUUUUUGUUUUGCAAAUUUUUUAUGUUUAGCAUUUGGAUAUCUUGGAAAUUAAUUAUGUGAGGAAAACAUAAGGAAGAAAAAUUAAUAGGAAAAUAAACUGGAUCUUCCAAAUGUUGUAGUUUUGUGGGCGGGGGAGUAACUAGUUGUAAGAGAUGUUGAUUCUGAAAGUCUUAUAAUAUUGACUACUGACCAUGUAUUUUGGUAAUUAAUACUCUGCAAUUUCAGUCAUUACAGUGACCAAAGCAGAACGUAUUUUAAGACUAAUUUUCAUGAGCCUUUUAGAUUACAUACUUGAAAGAUUAGCCAUUUUAUAUGCAUUUUAUGUAUAUUACACGAUCAUAGUUUUUUUUUUCUGUACCACUUUUGAUGUAGACCAGUGUUUCCUUAUGGCCAUUGGUAUGUUAUUUAUGAUUUGGCAGAGAGAAUCUGAAAACAUUGUAGUCAUCUUUGUAACUUCUUUUCUUUCCAGAUUUAUUAGCAGUCACUUCAUUUACUUUGAAUUUCAGCUACUUUUCUUCCUUUUUUUCUUUUGAAAGUGAAAUUGUUCACAUUUUUUUUUUUUUUUUUUUUACAUUCAUACUUUCUCUUGAACUUAGGCCAGUAGUUUCUGUAGUCAUCUUUUUAAUAGGUUUUACAGCAUCAUCUUUAAAAUAGCUAUUUAUUGGUACAUUAAUUCUUGGCACGGCUGUAUUUAGGAUGGUUUUUUUUUCCAUAAAAUUUCUUUCAUUACAAGAUGUGUCUUGAUGCCCCUUAAAGAAACUAGAGUAUUUCCUUUUUUCUACCUCAUCUCUUUAAAUGUGUACUCAUCUCUUCAAUAUAAAUGUAUGUCCUUACUUUAAAAAAUAAGACCACAGUCCUAAUGAUUUGAUAGUGUGUUAUUGAUUAUGUGUUCAUAAUUGAACAACAUGAUUCUAGCUCUUAUUUCUCAAAGGUUUCUAAAAUUUUUUUGUUACUCUUUUUUUGUUUGUUACUUUAGUGGGAGAUUAUUUCUAAAUGGUGAUAUUUAAAAUUAAAUACAAUUUAAAUUACAUAAUUGUAUAGAUAGUUAAAAUUUUUAGAAGGGAAGAUUUUUGUUUCUUUUUAGAGUCCUGAAUUUGUAGCUCUGCCAGUUUAAACUACCUAUUCAGUUUAGUAUUGCCACUUAGGAUUUGACACUAUGAGCUGCAGUCAUUCCUUGGAGAGUCAGCACAAUGAUAGAGUCCCUUCACUCUUGUUCUCAAGGUAGGGAGUUGGCUUUCAUUCUGAGGAUUUUUUGCUGAAGCUGCUAAAUUCCUCAGAAACCACGAUGGUGUUUAUAAUUCUGCUUUGUAUCUUAGAGCUGAAUGGGUAGUGACCCACUUCACUGCUUCCUGUUAGGUUAAGUUCAUGUGUUCAGAUUCUCAAUAUACCAGGCCCCAGGCAGGCUUUCCAUUGUUUGGACUUUAGAUUUACUGAUCAUAUCUUCCAGUGUUUUAAGGAAUAUAAAAGUUAUUUAGGCAUAUUUGGGAAGCACUUUUGUAUUUCAUCUUCUUAGAAUUUGGGCAGUAGUAUCAAGCUGCAUUUUCAUCUUGAAUUUUUGAUAAUAAUCAUUUCAAAAUUGUUAGCAUGAAAACAUAAAUAUAUUCAAAAGCAUAUUUGCCAUUGUGCUUUGAGAUUUAAUAUUAAUACACACAUUGGGACCUCAGUGUUGUAUAAUUUAUUAGUGAGUGGAAUUCUGUUUGAGAUAAGCUGUCCUAGGCUUUAUCCAGGAGCAUCAGAAGUUCUUUUACAGUACGAACACCAAUUGUAGCUAUGUGGGAAUAUUAAAGGAUUGUUGGUGUGUCUCAUUACAUGAAACAAAGUCAAUAAGGAGUCUAAGAUUAGAAAUUUUUUGAACUUUUUUUAUGCCUUUGUUUCUUCAUCUUUAGAGAGUUAUGCCUUGAUUAUCCAUGUUUAUGAAAGAGAUUUAUAUCUCUAUUUCUGCAUUACUACUUGUUAGAGAAAUAUUUCAAGUGAUUUUCUAUGACCAAAAUUAUAAUACUAAUUGUUUAUCUUAGGUUUAACUUUUAAAUUAGUUCGUGUUUCUCUGGAUUUGCACCAGAUGUCAGUGGAGAAUGUUGACCUGGAAGCCUCCUAGUUGGCAGGAGAAAACCAACUUAGCAUUAAACACUGGUUGUGCAUUAAUCUGAGAGUGGCUAACUGAUGUGCAGGCAAUUGAAAGUUGACUAUACUCACAUAUCCUUAUCUAUUUGUAGAAAAAUAUAAUGUUUAUGAAACACUUGGAUAUUCUGAAGAAAGUUUCUUUAUACAAUAAAAUUUUGAUGCUGCCACUGAAAUUUGUACAAUGUCACAUACUGAUUGCUAUCAUUUUCUUAAAUAAGUGUUUAUGUGAUUAUUAUAGGUGUUUUUACACUCUGCUUGUUAAAACAUGUUGGAAUACAAUUUAAAAAACCACAUACAAAAUAUAUCAGUUAAUCCCUUAGCUAAAACACCAUUUACAUUUCUCCCAGAGGGUAGUAAAUCAAUUUGUUGAACACAAAUGUGAAGUAUUUUACAUGAAUAAGAAAACAAGGUAAGGUAGUUGGCUAAUGGAUGAGUUAGAAUCAUUAAUUUAUCUGCUUGAUUUAGAUGAGUUAAAGUUGCUCUGUAUUAAUAUAUGAUGAACACAUCAUUUGAGUGCCUUUGUAGGGUAAAGCAUAAGUGUAAACAAAUGUCAUAGUAGUUGUUUCAAUAGUAUUCUAAACAUUUUGAUCCUUGAUUAAAAUCUUGAAAAAUAAAGCAUUCUUGUUUAAAGUAUAAAGAGAUUGAAAGCUUUUAUUUUUAAAAUUUGUUUGUAAGGACUUGUUUUGCUUAAGCUUUUAUCUGUCUUUUAUGAGCUUUAAAUCGAUUAAAAAUACAUUAACUAUUUUCUUAGUUUGUGGUAUCUUUUUACCACAUACUUAAAUAAUUACUGAUAAUUCAAAAUGUCUUGCACACUGUUGAUAUUUAAGUAUAUAUUACAGAAAUAAUUAAAUUAUAACCAGCUCUUGAUUGUUUUUGCCAAUGAUAUGAGAAAUAUAAUGGGAAUGGGAAAAAGAGCCAUAUAUCGAAUUUAAUUUUAUAUUUCAUAUAAAACUUUUCAUGACAGGUUUACUUUUUAAAAUAUAUAUACUCAUUUUACAAUUUUAUAUUUUUUCAUUUUCAUUCAUGUGAAAAUAUGAAAUCGUGAAAUGUUUGAGGAUAGUGAGCUAAGUAACAACUGGGGAAGGUGGUGUUGAAACAUACUAGGAGGUCAGAGAGAACUGAACUUGGGAUUAAAUGUUUUUAUUAAUAAAGUGUAUGUAUUACAAUGAGAUUACCUUUGAUGAAUGAGCUUGAUAUUUCACAAAGUUUGAUGUUUUUUCUUUACUUCUCCUUAGUUGAAAAAUUAUGAUCAUUAGCUCUAAGUAACAGUUUUAAAAAUGUAAUUAGGAAGUAAUAAAUUGUCCUUUUUUCUUUUUCUUUUAUUUUCUUUUUCUCUUCUUCCUCUUUUUUUUUUUUUUUUUUUAGGGUAUGAGUAUUAUAGAACAAUUAGACCCUGUAUCUUUUAGCAAUUACUUGAAGAAAUACCAUAAUACUAUAUGUGGAAGACAUCCCAUUGGGGUGUUAUUAAAUGCUAUCACAGAGCUACAGAAGAAUGGAAUGAACAUGAGCUUUUCCUUUUUGAAUUAUGCCCAGUCAAGCCAGUGUAGAAACUGGCAAGACAGUUCAGUGAGUUAUGCAGCUGGAGCACUCACGGUUCACUGAAGCUCUGAAUCCUCAGGGAUGCCACCUGCACAUACUCAUACUCUGUCCAGGGUCCCAGCCUAACCCUUACCAAGAUACUGGUCCUGGUUUGGGGGGAUUCCGAAACCUCAAACUAAUAGAACUUUCUUCUCUUCUUUUUUAGUAGGUGUAGUCCUUCCUUAAUUUCAACUCAUUAAAAAAAUGCUUUAUAGUUUAGAGCAGUGGAAGGAAGGCUGGCAUCAAAAUAUUUCGAUCAAAAAAAGAGGCAAUGUAAAGGCCCAGUUGUGGCAGUCAGUUUUUUGAAAGUAACUUGUAAAGCAUUUACCAUAUCCUAAAUUUGCACUCUUUGCAGACUUGUGCACAUAUACUCCGCUUUCAGAAUAGUUUUGCAAAAUUGUACACAAACAAAAAGGGUGGAAGCUUUUUAAUAAAGAAAUUGUAUUUAUAAAUGAUCUGUAUUAGAAUAUAAUAAAUCUCCAGUUAUGGUCAAUUACUACCCAUGUUGUACAACAGAUACCUUCUAUUUUAGUUGCUAAUAAAGGGCUACACAACUC
rnacentral:lncRNA from 1 species